rnacentral:rRNA from 1 species
UACGUAGGGUGCAAGCGUUGUCCGGAAUCACUGGGCGUAAAGGGCGCGUAGGUGGCGCGGGCAGUCAACGGUGAAAGUUCGGGGCUCAACCCUGAAUCGGCCGUCGAUACUCCCGUGCUUGAGCACUGUAGAGGCAGAUGGAAUUCCGGGUGUAGCGGUGGAAUGCGUAGAGAUCCGGAAGAACACCGGUGGCGAAGGCGGGUCUCUGGGCCGUUACUGACACUGAGGUACGAAAGCUAGGGAGCAAACAGG